rnacentral:misc_RNA from 1 species
UCACCCCUCAAGCCCCCGGCUUGGUGUUGGACGGUUUGGUCUUAGUGACAGAGACCCCUCCUAAAAUCAAUGACGGCGGCCUGUUCGACCCCCGGUACACUGAGCUUCUUAACUGAGCACGUAUCGGUCUAAGUGGUAGGCAGGGCCCGGUCUUCUUCCUUAACCGGAAAAUUCUUUCCAA